AGGAUUAACGCUGGCGGCGUGCCUAACACAUGCAAGUCGAACGAGGUAGCAAUACCUAGUGGCAGACGGGUGAGUAACGCGUGGUCAACCUACCGUUGAGCGGGGGAUAACUAGCCGAAAGGUUAGCUAAUACCGCAUACGUCUAGCACGGCAUCGUGCAAAGAUAAAAGCCGCAAGGCACUCGAUGACGGGACCGCGUCCCAUUAGUUAGUUGGUGGGGUAAUGGCCUACCAAGACUCCGAUGGGUAGCUGGUUUGAGAGAGCGACCAGCCACACUGGGACUGAGAAACGGCCCAGACUCCUACGGGAGGCAGCAGUGAGGAAUUUUCCGCAAUGGGCGAAAGCCUGACGGAGCGACGCCGCGUGUGGGAAGAAGGCCUUCGGGUCGUAAACCACUGUCGAAGGGGAAGAUAUUGACGGUACCUUGGAGGAAGCCCCGGCUAACUACGUGCCAGCAGCCGC
rnacentral:rRNA from 1 species